AAACUUUCGUGAUAAUCUUAACGUUGCCUGAUCAUAAUGUGCGAAAAGAUUUACAAACUGUGGAAGGGGAGUUGUAGAAGUCUCAAAACUUGAACUUGGACUUCAAUCACAAGAUGAUUUGAUCAUGACCUGGCCGAUGAUGAGCCCAAGAUUCCUAUAACAACCUAUUAUCUUGAUAAUCAGAGAAGUUUUACCUCCAUGAGUUCCAUGAGGAAAAUGGCAGAAGAGGAAAGUCAUUUGGUGGCAUUGAGUGGAUAAAGACGAAGAAGCUGUCAGACAAAAGAAAGAAUCCCACUG